rnacentral:rRNA from 3 species
UGGGGAAUAUUGGACAAUGGGCGCAAGCCUGAUCCAGCCAUGCCGCGUGGAUGAUGAAGGCCCUAGGGUUGUAAAGUCCUUUUAACGGGGAAGAUAAUGACGGUACCCGUAGAAUAAGCCCCGGCUAACUUCGUGCCAGCAGCCGCGGUAAUACGAAGGGGGCUAGCGUUGCUCGGAAUUACUGGGCGUAAAGCGCACGUAGGCGGACCGAUAAGUCGGGGGUGAAAUCCUGGAGCUCAACUCCAGAACUGCCUUCGAAACUGCCGGUCUUGAGUUCGGGAGAGGUGAGUGGAACUGCGAGUGUAGAGGUGAAAUUCGUAGAUAUUCGCAAGAACACCAGUGGCGAAGGCGGCUCACUGGCCCGAUACUGACGCUGAGGUGCGAAAGCGUGGGGAGCAAACA